rnacentral:misc_RNA from 1 species
GAUAUAUUUGUUUCGAUGCUUUCUUUUUAUUUUUGUUUUUGUUAGCUGGUUUGUUUAUUAUUGUGAGAGUUUUCUCUGAAAAUCCAAGGCUGCGGAUCCUUAAGAGAGGCUAUGAAAACGGCUGACGGUUACAAAGGCUAGCUUUUCUGUCGAGCAACAUCAUGUUGGUUCAGAGCCAGGCGUAAUAAUUGCGGAAGGAAACAAUUGUUCGCGUUAGGCCUGGGGUUGGUUGGUUGGAUUAGGGUUGUGAUGCAGUAUUGUUGAUUGGAUCGGUAAAAUUUUAUGUGGGAACUGGAUAAUGAAAUUAGCAAACGACAAUAAUAGAGAUAGUAAUUAGAUACAUCUAUUAUAUAUCAUCAAAUAAUGUUGGAAAUUAAGUGCAUAUUGCAGUUUACUUUUCUUCAAUGUGUGCUUCUUUUAGCCAAGUAGGGGUG